AUUGAAAACCAAAGUAAAAGCCCAAUUCGUCAAAUCCACCUUCUUACUACCAUUAUUAUUACUCGUUGAAAAUCUGUACAAAGAACGGAUAAAAGUUCCAAUUUCUUGAUCUCUCAGAGUAGAACUCUUUUGAAGGCUCUGCGAAGAAAAUAACUCUACGACAGUCAAACGACGAAGAAUCCUCCAAAGUUGUCCAUAAGGUGCCCAAACGUAAACAAUAUAAUUGAAGGUGAAUUUGUCACCGGCUAAUGUUUUAGGUCUGUUUGCAAAUAUAACAUCAUUUUUGGUUAAACAUUCUUCGACAGCAGAUGGCGAAGACACAACAAUCACAGGCAUAUUAUAGCCUAAUUUGAGGUAUAAAACAGGGCCAUAUU